CAUGUGCCAACCUCGAGCCCAAACUGUGUGCCCUUAAAGCCAAACAGCCGCAACAUGCCACUCGCACCCAAAAAAAAAAAAAGGAAAACAGAAAACAGAAGGAGGCAAAGUGAAGGAAAUUCAAGAGGAGGAAGAAAAACUCUUGCCAAGUUGUCAGCUGCCAGCGACUUGCCAAUGCUGUGUCGGGCCAAAAGGUGCGAGGGAAACGAAAAUUCAAAGGCUGCCAAUUGCCAAUUGAAGCCGUAAACUGCCACACCCCUUUGGACUUUGGCCUGAUGUGGCGUGUCGUCUUUAGGGCGUCUCGUCUCGUCUCCUGUCCUGAGAUCCGCUGCAGAUGUUUGCAUUUAUUUUGUAAUUACUGUCACGCAAUGCGACCAUCAAAUCAAAUAAAACAAAUUCCCGUCGACUCCAAACUGAAGCUGAAACUGAAA